CAACUACUCCCUCUGUCUCAAAUUUCUUGUCUUAGAUUUGUCUAGAUACGGAUGUAUCUAAUACUAAAAUGUGACUUGAUACAUCCGUAUCUAGACAAAUCUAAGAGAAGAAUUUUGGGACGGAGGGAGUACUUU
rnacentral:pre_miRNA from 1 species